rnacentral:rRNA from 1 species
UAGGGAAUCUUCGGCAAUGGGGGCAACCCUGACCGAGCAACGCCGCGUGAGUGAAGAAGGUUUUCGGAUCGUAAAGCUCUGUUGUAAGAGAAGAACGUGUGUGAGAGUGGAAAGUUCACACAGUGACGGUAACUUACCAGAAAGGGACGGCUAACUACGUGCCAGCAGCCGCGGUAAUACGUAGGUCCCGAGCGUUGUCCGGAUUUAUUGGGCGUAAAGCGAGCGCAGGCGGUGUAAUAAGUCUGAAGUUAAAGGCAGUGGCUUAACAAAUUUUCGCUUUGGAAACUGUUCAACUUGAGUGCAGAAGGGGAGAGUGGAAUUCCAUGUGUAGCGGUGAAAUGCGUAGAUAUAUGGAGGAACACCGGUGGCGAAAGCGGCUCUCUGGUCUGUAACUGACGCUGAGGCUCGAAAGCGUGGGGAGCAAACAGG